CGGCCAAUAGGCCAUGUCGCCGCAUUGGAUGUGCAUUGCACUUUUGUUUCAAGCAAGCAGGUUCGCACCAUGGUUUUAAAUCUCCCGCUGUACAAUUUAGCCGCUAUCUCCCGCUAUAGCUCCAUUUGGAACUAUCUCCAAGAGAACACACAAAAUCUUCCUAAAACCAAUAUUAGAGAUGAAACCCAAUUUUUUAUUACUCCAACAGCACCCUCUUCAUGCCCGCAUUUUUUCGUGUCCCACAUAUAUGACCUGUCGUCCCACAAAUAUGAGGGAGAAGAAAUCUCUCCCAAGCGCCUCGUACAUGCAUUUUAGUGUGUGAAAAUCACGUCGCACAAUAUGCUGCGAUCUAGAAGGUGAAAUCACGUAUGUUUGUUUAAUAUGGGCCAAGCCCUUCUAUCGAGUGAAAACAUGGCUGAUGCAACAAAAAAGGCCAAUUCAUGCCUAGGGUUUUUUUAGCUGUCCCAAUUUUCACUUUAGUC
rnacentral:misc_RNA from 1 species